UACGUAGGCAGCGAGCGUUGUUCGGAAUUACUGGGCGUAAAGAGUGUGUAGGCGGUGCUCUAAGUUCGGUGUGAAAUCCCCGGGCUCAACCUGGGAACUGCAUUUGUGACUGCAUCGCUGGAGUACGGCAGAGGGGGAUGGAAUUCCGCGUGUAGCAGUGAAAUGCGUAGAUAUGCGGAGGAACACCGAUGGCGAAGGCAAUCCCCUGGGCCUGUACUGACGCUCAUGCACGAAAGCGUGGGGAGCAAACAGG
rnacentral:rRNA from 1 species